rnacentral:lncRNA from 1 species
CAUUCUUUCGACAACACGUGAUCUCCAACAACAUAACUCCAAAGCUAUAAACAUCUGCUUUAACUGUCACCGGCAUAUUCCGGUGCCAUUCUGGUGCUACAUAUCCCCUCGUCCCUCUCAUUCCGGUGAAGGUUUUUGUUUGGUCUGACUUCAGAAUUUUUGCCAAUCCAAAGUCAGAAACUUUGGGGCACCUGCUUUCAUCUAUUAGUAUAUUCUGAGGUUUUAUAUCACAGUGGAUGAUCUGAGUGUCGCACUCCUCAUGUAGAUAAACAAUACCCCUUGCAAUGUUGCGAGCAAUUUCCAACCUUUCAGGGAAGCAAGGUCGUUUUUCAAGUGAGAAGAGUAUGUCAGCAAGGGAGCCAUUGCUCAUGUACUCGUAUACCAGGAGCCUGUGAUGUUCAUCAUGGCAAUAGCCGAGCAGACGGGCUAGGUUUCUUUGAUUUUUUUUGGAGAGAUAAAGGAGGACAAGAGAAAGUAUUGAAUGUGAGUGUUAUCAGUCAUUUCUUAUAUAUUAUAUAUAUGAGGGUGUAUAAAGGAAAUCCCCUCAGAUUCAGCCAAUAUUCAAAUUUCCCAGAUUCAGCCAAUAUUCACUUGCCUCUUGCCCAUGAUCCUGCAACCAUCAUUCAAGCAUAAUAUCAAGCUUGUAACGGCAGACAAAUCUUCAACGUAAAUGCAGUAUAAAUGUCAAGACGUAAUCUUAGCUUACUUUCUAAAUUCAAACCUGCAAAGCUGUGUAUAUAUAUGUUAACAAUUGUAUUACUCAAGGUGUGGCGAAAUAUACAAUUCUGAAGUUUAUCAAAUAGCUCAACUCUCUGAAAUUUCUUAUCUUCAUCAUGGUAUCAGAGCAACAAAUCUCCAACGAGAAUUUGAUCCCUCACAAUCCUAUCUCAACCCCAUCCUCUCCAACUGAAACACCUCUGAUUGCCCUCAACAUCACAUCCCAGAUAAAUGAUAAACUUACCCCCUCUACAUUCCUUCAAUGGCGCGCUCAGUUUGAAGCCUUACUCAUCGGGUAUGAUCUCCUUGAUUAUGUCACUGGAGAAAAAAUCUGCCCUGUAUCCACCAGCACAGCAGUCUGCGCCAUCCAACGAACACACUGGAUAAGGCAAGAUAAGCUUAUCCUCAGUGCCAUUUUGGCAUCCACAUCCACUGUUAUUACUCCUCUCAUCUCCAUGGCCAAGACAUCAAAGGAUGCAUGGCAUAAAUUGCAUACUCUGUAUGCAAGCAAGUCCAGAACCAGAGCAAUGCAACUUAAGGAAGAACUCACAAUGAUAAAGAAGGGCAACCAGUCAAUUCAAACUUAUCUUCAUUCUGUAAAAUCGUUGGCAGACGAAAUCUCCCUCAUAGAUCACCCAAUCUCUGAAGAUGAUCUAACACUCUAUAUUCUAAAUGGCCUGGGAACUGACUUUCGUGAAAUUGCAGGCCCUAUUCGCGCCCGAGAACGACCACUCACUUUUGAGGAACUUCAUGAUCUCCUUGUAAGUCAUGAUGCAUAUCUUCGCCGUCUUGAUGCCUCCUCCCAUCUGAUUGCUUCUGCAAACUACACGCACCGACGGGCUUCGUAUAAUCAAGAAAAUCAGUCUUUUAAAUCUGCCCCAAACCCCACUUUUUUGACAGAUCAUAUGGGCUUCACUAUCGCCAGCCUGGCAAUCCGAGAGACACAACAAAAAUCAUGGACCACGUCGUUUUCCUCCAGCUCCAAAGUGCCAACUAUGUGACCGCAUGGGUCAUACUGCCAAACACUGCAGUCGGUUUCAGUAUACCACCCCAACAGCGAAUUGCACUUCCACCUCACCCGCACAGGAUACAAAAUGGCUUAUAGACUCAGCCGCGUCUCAUAAUAUUACUGGUGAUCUUGCUAAUCUAUCUAUUCAUUCCGAAUACGAUGGCACAGACGAAGUUAUCAUUGGUGAUGGUUCAGGUUUGCCUGUUUCUCACAUUGGCUCCUUACAUCUUCAUUCCCCCACACGUACCUUCCAUUUAAAUGACACCCUUUGUGUUCCUAAUCUACAAAAAAAAUCUCAUAUCUGCUCAUCAAUUUACUCGUCAAAAUCAUGUCUUUAUUGAGCUUCACCCCUCUUUCUUUUUUGUUAAGGACAAGAUCACGGGAGCGGCUCUAUUCCGAGGAGCGUGUGAGAAUGGUGUUUACAUCCUUCCGAAGUCAAUGGUGCAGCCUUCUCAUCCUAUUGUUGCUAAUGUGCAUGAAAGGGUCUCCAUGGACGGAUGGCACAAACGCCUUGGGCAUCCCUCUCCUAAAUUGGUCACUCACCUUAUCAAAUCAUUUUCCCUUCCAACAAUAAAUAAAAAAAAUAUUUCUCUUUGUUCCUCAUGUUCUAUUAAUAAAGCUCAUCGUCAACCAUUUCGUCAAAACAGUCUCUUGAGUCAUGCCCCUCUUGACUUACUUUAUACUGAUGUGUGGGGUCCCUCAAGUACAAUUGGCAUUACUGGGGCUCGUUACUAUCUCAUUUUUGUUGAUCAUUUCACAAAAUACAUUUGGUUUUAUCCUAUGGAGACUAAAUCCAGUGUCCGCAUCAUAUUUCCUCAAUUCAAAAAUCUUGUUGAAAAUCGGUUUCAGUUAAAAAUUAAAUCUGUCUAUUCUGAUAAUGGUGGUGAAUUUGUUGCCUUAAAACAAUAUUUUACAACAAAUGGAAUCAGUCAUUACACCACAGCUCCUCAUACACCGCAACAAAAUGGUGUUUCUGAGCGUCGUCAUCGUCACUUGGUUGAAACCGGUCUCACAUUACUACAUGAUGCAUCCCUUCCCCUUCAGUAUUGGCCCUAUGCUUUUUCCACUGCUGCAUAUCUUAUUAACCGUCAACCCACACCUCUCCUCCACCAUAAAUCUCCGUUUGAAACUUUGUUUACACAGCCUCCAAAUUAUAAAAAGCUAAAAAAAUUCGGUUGUCUUUGUUUUCCUCUUGUUCGGCCAUAUAACACAAACAAGUUACAACCAAAAUCAAUUCCAUGUAUUUUCGUAGGCUACUCCUUAACCCAAAAUGCAUACAGCUGCCUUGAUCCCAUAACCAACCGUCUCUACCAAUCACGCCAUGUCAUCUUUCAUGAAAAUGAAAAUGGUUUCUCCUCCAACCAUCCUUCCACACCCAGCCCGACAAGCGACUCCUCUGUUCAUGGUCCUCUUUCAUCUCCUCCUGCACCUCCACCAGUGACUUCGGCAAGGAUACCCACUCUCACUGCUUCCUCAGGUAAUGACUCCCCCACUGUAUCUUUUAAUUCACGUGCACUCAUACCUUUAUCUUCUUCUGCUUCUCCUAGUUUUCAGCUUGCCUCAUCUCCACUGCCAAAUCCCAGUCAUCCACCCUCAUCAGUUAUUUGUGCACCUUCUCCAAGCUCACCUCCCUCAUCACCCAAUCCUGCACCCACCCGGCCUCACUCCAUGGUCACCCGUUCCAUGAAUAACAUUUAUAAACCCAAACAACUUAACAUCACCACAAAACACCCCAUCCCAAAAACUGUAGAACCAACCUGUGUGGGACAGGCUCUUCGUGAGCCACACUGGAGAUCAGCAAUGUCUGAGGAACUCACAGCCCUCAUGAGGCAUGGCACAUGGGAGUUGGUACCGCCUCCUCCGGACUGCCAACCAGUUGGGUGCAAAUGGGUUUUUCGGAUCAAACGACAUCCUAAUGGCUCCAUUGCUCGGUUCAAAGCCCGUUUGGUUGCAAAGGGAUAUCAUCAGCGGCCUGGUCUAGACUACAAUGAAACGUUCAGUCCAGUUGUGAAACCUGCCACCAUCAGAACAGUUCUCACCGUGGCUGUCACACAGGGGUGGCCAUUACGGCAGCUAGAUGUAAACAAUGCCUUUUUGCAUGGGAACCUGCAGGAAACAGUCUACAUGUUACAGCCACCGGGGUUCCAUGAUACCUCCACUCCCCAUCAUGUCUGUCGGUUAAACAAGGCUAUUUAUGGCCUCAAACAGGCCCCUCGUGCCUGGUAUUCUGCUCUGCAACAAGCCAUUCUGAAACUGGGAUUCACCAGCUCCAAAGCCGAUCCUUCUCUAUUUAUCUUUCACAGUGCAGAUGUUUUGUGUUACUUGCUGGUCUACGUGGAUGAUCUCGUUCUCACUGGAAACACUCCAUCCUUCCUGACUCAUGUGAUUGAUCAACUUAGCAUCCAAUUCUCAUUGAAAGAUAUGGGUGCACUUCAUCAUUUUCUGGGGCUAGAUGUUAUACCCACCAAAAACGGGUUGUUCUUAUCUCAACAUCAAUACAUACGGAUCUUCUCUUCAAAACUAAUAUGCAGGGUGCUAAGGAUGUCUCUUCUCCUAUGUCCACUUCGGUCCAGCUCAAGCUUAUUGAUGGCACAGCUCCCUGUGACAGCACUGCAUUUCGAAGCAUCAUCGGUGGAUUACAAUAUUUGUCUCUUACUCGUCCUGAUGUUUCCUUCACUGUUAAUAAGCUGUCACAAUUCAUGCAUCAACCUACGGUCACUCACUGGUCAGCUGCCAAACGCCUGCUCCGCUAUUUGAAGAAAACCAUCUUCCUUGGCAUUCACAUAAAUCGUCAGUCUUCAUUUGAUAUCACCACUUUUGCUGAUGCUGAUUGGGCUGGGAAUUAUGAUGAUCGCACCUCCACCUCAGCUUACAUUACAUUCCUUGGGCUCAAUCCCAUCUCGUGGAGCUCAAAGAAACAACGUGCAGUCGCCAGGUCCUCCACAGAAGCUGAGUAUCGUUCCCUUGCCACUGCUACGUCUGAAACAGUUUGGCUGUUGUCCCUGUUCAAAGAACUGUGUCUCCCAAUUUCAUCUCCGCCAAGGCUGUUGUGUGACAACCUGGGAGCUACACACCUUAGCUUCAAUCCAGUUCAGCAUUCCCGGAUGAAACACAUUCAGAUAGACCUCCACUUUGUCCGUGAUAUGGUUCACAAGAAGAUCCUCAAUGUUCAGCAUGUCAAUACUCAUGACCAAUUGGCAGACUUUCUAACGAAGCCUCUGUCUUCCCAGCGUCUGCAUUCCUUACUGCUCAAGAUUGGCUUAGCUGAUGGCUCAUCCAUCUUGCGGGAGCGUAUAAAGGAAAUCCCCUCAGAUUCAGCCAAUAUUCAAAUUUCCCAGAUUCAGCCAAUAUUCACUUGCCUCUUGCCCAUGAUCCUGCAACCAUCAUUCAAGCAUAAUAUCAAGCUUGUAACGGCAGACAAAUCUUCAACGUAAAUGCAGUAUAAAUGUCAAGACGUAAUCUUAGCUUACUUUCUAAAUUCAAACCUGCAAAGCUGUGUAUAUAUAUGUUAACAAUUGUAUUACUCAAGGUGUGGCGAAAUAUACAAUUCUGAAGUUUAUCAAAUAGCUCAACUCUCUGAAAUUUCUUAUCUUCAUCAGGGUGAUCAUUUUAAAGAUUUUUUAGUAUAAUUUCUCAAAGUAUAAUGGGGAAAUGAAAACACGAUCAAAGCACAAGAAUAUUUUUUUUUUUUGUAAUUAUCCAUGAACUCAUGAAUAGUUGUAAAGUUUUUGAAGUGAGAUAAUGUUUGGUGAUUUAACUAGUUAGUUGGCCUGCAUUUUAUCGCGUGAUGAAGAAAUUUCUUGCUUUGCAAUGAAAAAUAAAAAGAAUUAUCUUGCAAUAUCGAUAAUAAACACAACAAAUUAAAACAAAAUAAAACUAAGUUUGUUUACAUGUUGGUCGUUAAUUUAAGAUUAAAAUUUAUGGUUAAUUAAAAUUUUUUUUUACUAUAUUUCAUAUGUCACAAAUAUUUGUGUUAUAAAUAUUGUUAUUUUUAUUAUAAUUAAAAAUACUAAUAUAAAAAUAUUGUUGUUUGUGCUAUAAAUAUGAUUAUUUUUAUUAUAAUUAAUUUGAUUAAUAAAAUAAUUAAUAAAUUUGAAAAACAAAUUAUUAUCAAUAUUGAAAAACAACCAUAGAUUUGAUUUGAAAUGUAAAAUUGAAAAUUGUUAUUGUUAUCAUUAAUAAAUUUGAAAAAAAAAUACUAUUAUUACUAUUGAAGAAAAUCCAUAAUUUUUCAAAAAAAUUAAAAAAUAUAAGAAUUUAGACGGACAAGUUAAAUAUUAUUAUUUAUAUUAUAAAUAUUAUCGUUGGGUUUGACAUUACAGUUAGACUCGACUCCUUCAAUUCUUGUGUUGCAACCAGACCAAAGCUUUUGAGUCAUAUAUUUUUUUUAUAUUUUUUAUGAAAAUAAAACGUUGGCCGCAACCUAACUAAUAAUUACUAAAUGAGGACUCCAAAUAAAUUAAUUCAUUUGAUUGCUAUGUGAGAUUUUUUAUAAAAUACUUCAAGGAAAACAAACAUAUUAAAAUCAUAAAAACAUUUUACUAUAAAAUAUUAUACAGAAUAAACGUAACUUACUCUAAAUUUCCUCAAACAAUCUUGCAUUGCAAGAUUAAAUGGGCAGUAACAACGCCAGGAAUGCUUUCUUGUGGAUUUAAACACAUUUUUCUAUUCCUCUUAAUUAUGGGAGGGGGGAGCUAUCUUCUGCUGUGUAGGAAGAUCUGAUGAAACAAAGGAACAAUUGUUUUCAUUUUACCAAAAACAUAUUUAGUGGAGUCGUACUAUUGAUUAAAAAUCAUCUACCAGAAGUGGAGUAUCCUCAAUACAAGUUGUUGCAACUCUGAAGAACAUAUUGCUAGUAUUUGUUGAGACUUGAGAAUAGCAUUACCCAUCUAGAAACCUGGCCAAAAUAUAGGUUUCAGUUUUCCAGCCAUAAUCCCGACAAAUGAGAUAAGGUGGGAAACAACUUUACAGGCAUUAACAUUAGAAUAAAAAUCAUCAGGAAGCUCCUAAAUGCUGCGUAAACAUAUAGCAAUUUUAUAAAGAAAAGGAAUACAUGACAUGAAAAUAAAAUACAAAUACUUUGCAGGUGAAUUCCUUAUUAUGAACCACAAAACGCAGCUCAUACAGCGGUAAAAAAAGAAGUAGGACUUGGAGGGAUUGGGAUUUCGACGGUCCCAUCCAACAUGAGGAGGACCAUUUUCAUUGAAGGGCGGAGGGAUGGCUCAUCAAGAGUGCACCAAAGUCCCACUUUAACCAUCCUAUCUAACUGUUUCUUUUCGACGACUUCUUCACCCACAAGUUUGUCCAUAUCACCGUCCUGAAAACAUUGAUAAACCCACUGUUCGAGAACAGCUUCAUCCUCUGGAAGACUCCAAUCCACAUUCUUUCGACAACACGUGAUCUCCAACAACAUAACUCCAAAGCUAUAAACAUCUGCUUUAACUGUCACCGGCAUAUUCCGGUGCCAUUCUGGUGCUACAUAUCCCCUUGUCCCUCUGAUUCCCGUGAAGGUUUUAGUUUGGUCUGACUUCAGAAACUUUGCCAAUCCAAAGUCAGAAACUUUGGGGCACCUGCUUUCAUCUAUUAGUAUAUUCUGAGGUUUUAUAUCACAGUGGAUGAUCUGAGUGUCGCACUCUUCAUGUAGAUAAACAAUACCCCUUGCAAUGUUGCGAGCAAUUUCCAACCUUUCAGGGAAGCAAGGUCGUUUUUCAAGUGAGAAGAGUAUGUCAGCAAGGGAGCCAUUGCUCAUGUACUCGUAUACCAGGAGCCUGUGAUGUUCAUCAUGGCAAUAGCCGAGCAGACGGACUAGGUUUCUGUGAUGUGUUUUCCCAAUGACUUUCAUCUCAUUCUGAAAUUCUCUUUCCCCUUCAGCUAGAGCUUUCUCCAGUCUCUUGACAGCAACAACCUUCCGAGUACUUGAUAUUAUCCCUUUAUAAACUGUCCCAAAUGAUCCCCUGCCAAUUUCUUCCUUGAAACCACCAGUAACAUCUUCUAGCUCUGCAUAAGUGAAAGCUCGAGGAGCAAAUUCCUCAUUCAAUGCACUACCAUCAUUUUUGGGAACCUUUUUAUAUGCCAAUACAUGAUAUCUGUAAAUGAUGAUUCCGAAAAUCGCCACCAUAGCAAGCCCAAAAGCAACAACUGAACAACUUAUUAUUACGAUUCUCCUGCCAGUGCCAAGGUUCUUCUUCUCUUUUCUGUCCAUGGAGGAUAUGGGUCUACCCACCUUGACGACAGCCAAGUUGGAACUUUCUAAGUUUCUCCUCCCAAAUCUCAAAGGAAGCCUUUGCUUUCUGCAGUACUGCCCAUCAGUGAAUAAUGCUGCUUCACAGUUACAGUCUUCCAAACAGGCUUGCUUACAAUUGUCUUUCAUUGUUAAAGACAAAACGGAGUAUGAAACAUCUUCCCAGAAUAUUAGACAGCUCUUCCAUGGUGUAUGUGCUACUUCCAUUCUUGUUUGCAACUUUCAGCAUGAAAUCCCUCUCACAGCCAGAAGUCCAAUUUCCCUGGGUAACAAACUUAAAUCCAGGAAGACAAAUACAUUCAGCUUCCUGAUCCUUCAACACAAUAUCCAUUAAGACCGCAUGAUCCUUUCGGGUGGCACUUUGCUUGUGGAUGACCACACAGCUGACCAGUUUCCAUUCCGUGUCAGAUUUUGUGAAUAUAAUCUGAAAAUCCCAUCAGCAUCAAGUUUCAUAUUAAUUGUUUCUUUCGUGGGAUAUCCUCCAGCUGUAAUGUUUUUAUGUUGAAACCUGUGGAAUUGAGCAGGUAGAGACGGCCAUCCGGAUCAAGAUUUAGGGUCACAUUAUCUCCCGCCCCAUUAGUAUCAGAUGCAAAAUAAGCAUAUGGAGCUGUAUCUGGAGUACUAACAGGAUACUGCACAAGGUGUCCAUCAUGUUGCAUCUUGAGUCGGUAAAUACCAGUUGAGAGGUCAGUUUCUGAAACAGGAGAAACCAGCUCUGCCCCUGCUCUGAGCUGUUGAGUUGGCAAAAGGGUAUCUGUUGGGUGGUCAAAACUCUGCCAUAUAAUCUCGUGAUCAGAAUUAUAUAGCACAAAGUUGCCUGAAUCAGACAUAGAAGCUAAAGAAGCUGGCUGGGAAGCAGAAACUAUCGGAGUCUCAUCCCCUUGUGCUGAUCUCAAGACAACCCUGCCAUCACUGGUGAAGAGCAAGGUCGCAUUACUGGGGACUGGGGCGUCAUCCCUUCUAGCAAAGAAAGAGAAGAUGCUUUACAAGAGGCACAGAAGCAAGUCCUUAAAGUCAACAGAAAGAAGGACAACAAAGCAAAGACCAUCAUCUAUCAAGGUCUUGAUGAAGAUACAUUCGAGAUAAUAGCUUCCGCUGAAACGUCACAUGAUAUAUGGGAGGCUCUCCAACAAAAAUACAAAGGUGCUGACAGAAUCAAGAAGAUUCGUCUUCAAUCUUUGAAAGGAGAAUUUGAAUUAUUACGAAUGAAGUCCUCAGAAUCUAUUUCUGAUUAUCAUACAAGGAUUAUGGUGAUAGUCAAUCAGAUGAGGAGAAAUGGAGAAGCCAUCAUAGAUACUCGAAUUAUUGAGAAAAUUUUGAGAUCCAUAGAUCCAAAAUUUGAUCAUGUUGUUGUCGCAAUUGAAGAGUCCAAGGAAGUGGACAAGUUGACAGUGGAUGAGCUUAUGAGUUCUUUGCAAGCUCAUGAGCAGAAGAUUGUAAUGCGAAAUGAAGAUAAGGCCAUUGAGCAUGCCUUACAAGCAAAGCUGUCUUUCAAGGACAGAUAUGAGCAAGGGGAGACUUCAACAAGUGGCUACACCACUCAAGGAGGAAGUCAACAAUCCAGAGGAGGAUUCCAGAGAUUCCAAGGAAGAGGUUCUUGGAAUACAAGCUUCAGAGGAAGAGGUGGUAGAAACACCACCAGAGGAGGCCAAGGCCAACAAGCAUUCACUCCCAGAGGAAGAGGAGGCGGUUACAAUAACCGUGACAAGAGGAAUAUCCAAUGUUAUAGUUGCAAUCAAUUUGGGCACUAUAGCACUGAAUGCCGAUGGAAAGCUCCGUUGGAGAUACGUGAGCAAGCCAACUAUGUAGAGAAGCAUGAUGGAGAAGCAUCUGCAUUUCUUGUCCAACAAGGACAUGGCGAGAAAAAGAGGAGAUAUGGUAUCUAGAUACUGGAGCCAGCAAUCACAUGUGCGGCUACCGAGAGUUAUUUGGUGAUCUAGAUGAGACCAAGCAAGGUCUAGUUACUUUUGGAGAUACCACAAAGGUUCCAUUCAAAGGUAAAGGCAACAUCCCAGUCAAGUUGAAGAAUGGCGAUUCCAGCUACAUCGCCGAUGUGUAUUAUGUCCCAGCCAUAAAGCAGAACCUGAUCAGCUUAGGUCAACUUUUGGAGAGAGGAUAUAUUUUUACUCGAAGAAUUGUCAUCUGCAAUUAGAGACAACAAUGGGAGAUUAAUGGCCUACGUGAAAAUGUCCAAGAAUAGGAUGUUUCCUUUGAACAUCCAGUAUGAUGCAACAAGGUGUUUGAGUGCCAUCACCAACAGUGAAGAAUGGCUUUGGCACCUGAGGCUUGGACAUCUGAAUUUCACAAGUUGAAGAUGCUAGCAAGCAAGAAGAUGGUCAAAGGUUUGCCUCACAUUGAUCAUCCAGAUGAAGUCUGUGAGAGUUGUGUCCUCAGCAAACAUCACAGAUCCAGUUUUGCCAAAGAAGUCAACUGGAGAGCAAAGAGGCCACUGGAGUUAGUACACACAGAUGUGUGUGGCCCAAUUACGCCUAUGUCGACUGGACAAAAUAGGUACUUCCUCACUUUUACUGAUGAUUUUAGUAGAAAGACGUGGAUAUACUUUCUGAAGAGGAAGUCAGAAGUAUUCAAUUGUUUUAAAGAUUUUAAAGCAAUUGUGGAGAAGCAAACUGGUUACACGAUCAGAACCGUAAGAUCUGAUCAAGGUGGAGAAUAUACAGCAAAUGACUUUGAAGCCUAUUGUACACAACAAGGCAUCAGACAUCAGACGACGCCAGCUUAUACACCACAGCUGAACGGUGUAGCAGAAAGGAAGAAUCGCACGAUUCUUGACAUGGCAGAAGUUGCUCAAAGCAAAGAAGCUGCCCAAGCAAUACUGGGCUGAAGCUGUAUCAUGUGCAGUGUAUCUGUUGAAUCGCUGCCCAACCAGAAGUUUGCAAGGAGUCACUCCAGAAGAAGCAUGGAGUGGUCACAAACCAAGUGUUACUCAUCUACGAGUCUUUGGUUGUGUGGCAUAUGCAAAGAUCCCAGAUGCAAGAAGGAGAAAGCUCGAUGAUAAGAGCGAGAAAUGCAUCUUUGUCGGAUAUGGUGAAAGAAGGAUGGGAUACAGACUGUAUAAUCCCAUCACGAAGAAGGUGAUUACGAGUAGAGAUGUUAUCUUUGAAGAAGAUAAAUCUUGGGCAUGGAAUGUGAUCAAGAAGCAGUCAAAUGGAUCAAUCUUGAUUUGAUCCUUGAAGGUGAAGAAGUACCAACAGUACUUGUAGAAGAACCGAUUGUGCCAGCAGCUGAACCACAAAGUCCAGUGUUUAUACCAGUAGCUGAACCACAAAGUCCGGUACACAGAUUCCCUGUAUUCAACAGGAGGAACACACCAGGAGCAUCAUCAUCAACACCACCAUCAGCAUCCUCGUCAGAAGGACCAAGAAAGAUGCGGAAUCUUGAAGAGUUGUACGAUACCACUCAGGUCAUGGAAGAUACAACUUUGUUUUGUUUCCAUGCAGAUAAGGACCCACCAGAAAAGAAGAAAGCAAAAGGUGUCAAAAGGGUCUACAAGACGAAAGCCAAAUUAGUGGAUAAAGGCUACAAGAGAGAAGGCAUUGAAAGAAGAAGUGUCCAUGCUUGGCAUGACAUCCCUCGAUUGAGUUUAAAGGGGAGAUUUGUUGAAUUAAACUCAACAUCUAGAUGGUCAAGGAAGGAAACCACCAGCUGCCACCGACCAGCCGUCAGCCACCAGCCGCCUUCACACCGCCGGUCAACAGCCGCCUUCACACCUGGAACAGUAGAUUUUUGUAUUCUGAAUUUAUGUAUAAAUAGGGUGCUCAGUUAUGUUAAAUUGUGUGGAGAGAAUUGAGAGAAACACUUGAAAGAGAAAGAGAGAGAGAGAGGGCGUGUAUUAAGCUUUUGUUUUGUGUUAAUUGUAAGCUUCGGUUUUGUGUAAUAAAACAGUGUGUUUUAUCCCCUCUGAGUGUCUCAAAGCCACCACCAGUGGUUUCUCCCACCAACAGCCCACACAACAGUCUUUAGUGAAAUCCCGGAUAGAAAAACCCCUAUAGAAUAGCCGUCGCGUUGUCGGAAAAAUCCGAAAGCAUAAAGACCAGAAGGUGACAACCAUAAGGAGUUUGUGAAAGGUGUUAGAGAAGAUCCGAGGGUUAUAUUGGUCUGUCUUUGAGCUGAAGCUGUAAAAGAUAAGGCGAGAAGAAGAAAAAAGAUGAUAGAAGCCAUGGAUAGGGAUUUAGCUCUUGUCUGGUAUGGGAGUGUCAAUAUAAGGAUGUCUAAUGUUCCAGCACUCCAGUCUCUUUCUUUGGGUUCCAGCAGUCAAGCCAGGCACUCAGAACAUGAAAGUCUAGCCAUAAAAUCCACGCUUGCUUGUAUGCUUUCAAAGUCAAUGCAGUUGCGACGCCCCAUUUGAACAGCCAUUUGCUAAUUUCCCCUGGACUGUUCUUGGUUCUAAUUUUCUGCAGCAGAUUCUUUUUUAUUUGUCAAGUACCAUCAAUAUGCUUUUGAUAACAUAUUGAUGGUAUGGUUUUUUCUAUGGUUUUUUCAAUGGACCGUUGAUUCUAUGGUUUUUUUCCACACGUAUUUUGCAGGAACAGAAAUUGGACGUAUGAGUAAAGUAAUGUAUCUCUUGUCCUUGGCUGUAGCCAGUCUUUCUUUGAGCGUGUUUGGAAUUAAGAUAGUAAUAAUGGUUUAAAAUGUUUUUUAUUUAAAAAUAUAUUAAAAUAAAAAUUUGUUAUUUUAAAAAAAAUUAUUUUUAAUUUUAAUAUAUUAAAAUAAUUUAAAAAUAUAAACAAAAUUUAAAAUUUAAAAUAACAGAAAUGUGUUCGAUUGACGGAUUGAGGGUGCCCCUGUAUGACUUUAUUCAGAGUAUAAUUAAGGUGGUCACAACAGGGACUGUUCUCAGCAAAAAUGUCUUCUCUGACUAGCUUCAAAGCCAUGGGUGCGCUUUGAGGGGCUUUAUAAUUUAUUUAUUAAAAAUGUAUUAUGAAAAAGUAAAUAUGUAAAUCUUCAUGGGAGAUCUCUAAUAGAUGAAUUCUACAUUUUUUUUUGCCCGUAAGUUUUUUCUAACUUUAAAAAAUAUAAAGUCCAUGCAGUUAUAACUUAAAUCAACCUGGAUUAAUUUAACUAAUAUACAAAGCUCAAGGUGCAAUUAUUUAAUAUUAAAAAUUAAAAUUAUAUAAAUAAAAAAUAUUAAAUAAAAAAAUUUAAGUCAACUCAUCACCCGCAAUACAAGACUAGAACUAAAAAAUAAUUAAAAAAAAACUUAAAAAAACUCAUGAGCACUGUAUAUUGAAAUUGAAAAUGCUGUUGAAAGUUAUAUUUAUUGAAAUUAAAGGUUUUUUCAUAUUUUCAUAAAGGUUUACAUCAUUGUUUUACUUUUUUUAAAAAAAUUAUUAUUUGACAUUGUUUUUUUUUUAAAAAGGCUUUGUAGUUUUUAAUUUUUAUUUCAAUUGUAGUGUCUCGAUCUUAUAAUUUAAAUUAUAAAUUUACUGGGUUAAUUCAAGUUGACUCGAUCCUUUUUCUAGAUUCACUUUUCUAUGAAAGGAAUUUUACUCUCUUUUUUAACAUUAUUUUUUUAAAAAAAUAAAAUUAGUUCAUCCCUGUGGCGCAGAGCAGGUGCACAUCUAGUCUCUCUGCUAAAUGUUUUGCAAUCUGAUUUGCUUCUCUAAAUACAUGACUGAAACUGACUAAUAUAUAAUUAAACAAACUCUAGAGAAUCCCAUACAUACCUAAUCGUUUGAACGCGAAAUUGAUGCAUUUGGAUGUAAAGUGAAAACCGUAAAUUAGGACUCCUAAAUUUCUAGUUUUUAGGGUUCAGAUUUCUAUCAGUCAUGAAGAGAGAGAUUUUGAUUUUUUUUUGAGAGAUAAAGGAGGACAAGAGAAAGUAUUGAAUGUGAGUGUUACCAGUCAUUUCUUAUAUAUUAUAUAUAUGAGGGUAAUUUUUUUUUUUGAUUAUUUUAAAGAUUUUUUAUUAUAAUUUCUCAAAGUAUUUUUUAUAAUGGGGAAAUGAAAACACGAUCAAAGCACAAGAAUGAUAAAUAUCCGUUCUCAUCUUGCGGGGGGAUAUUGGAACCUAGCGCAUACUCACACAAAACAUAAAGAAGCUAAGGAUGCAGACAAUUCUUCAUUGCUUGCGGAGCAAGUAACCCCUGCAGCCGACUCCCCUACACCAAAAGACUAACGAAGACUAGCCAAGUUAUCAUAACACAUUGUAAAUUGUGGAUAUAAUAAAGUUAGUUAUAUACUGUUAAAGUUAGUUAGAAUAUGUGUAUAUAUAUGUAUUCAUGUAUACUGCAAAAGAGACAAAUAAUAAGAGAAGAAAUACUGCAUAUUGAUUGCAGACUUUCCAAACGUAUCUUCCUUCUUCUUCUCUCAUAAGAAAUUUUAUUCUCUUCUUCUUUCUCUACUUCUACAGGAAAGAAUAAAUUCUGCUAUAACAAAAUUAUUAUGGUAUCAGAGCAAGAUUUCUUCUAAAUCUCUGAAAAUAUAUACUCUUCUUUAUUUUUUUUCAGAAAGAUUCAAGAUCUUUGUAGUUGGAUAUUUUUCUGUCAUCAACUUCUUGAUUCCUUCAAAACUUCAAAAUGUCUGAUCAUCUUGAAGAAAGUGCUUCUACAGCACAUAAAGAUUCAUCCAAUAUCACUACUCUGAAUCUUUCUGAUGAUUCUUCCAGCUGCUACUACCUCCAUCCUUCUGAUAAUCCUGGCGCACUUCUAGUUUCUGAAAUCUUCACUGGCGAAAAUUAUAUUGCAUGGAGCAGAUCCAUGACAAUUGCCUUAACAGUGAAAAACAAGAUUGCCUUCAUUGAUGGAUCUUUAGUUCAACCAAACACCACCAAUCAAUCACUUUGUGUGGCAUGGCUGAGAUCAAACAAUCUGGUUCUAUAAUGGCCGAUGAAUUCAAUUGCCAAAGAAAUUAGCAACAACCUUCUUUACUUCACAACAACAUUCGAUAUCUGGGAAGAAUUACGAAUGAGAUAUCUUAGAAGUGAUGGACCAAGGGUUUUUAGUUUAGAAAAAUCUUUGAGUUCUAUUUCCUAGAAUUCAAAAUCUAUCACUGAAUAUUUCAGUGAAUUCAAGGCACUAUGGGAUGAAUACAUCAGUUAUCGCCCAAUCCCAAGCUGCAAAUGUGGAAAUCUUGAUUCCUGCUCAUGCAACAUUUUUAAACAUCUAACAGAUCGACAACAAUCCGACUUUGUUAUGAAAUUUUUGGUUGGCCUUCAUGAUUCUUACUUAGCAGUUAGAAGCCAACUAUUGCUCCAAACUCCUUUGCUAUCUAUGGGCAGAGUCUUUUCCCUACUUCUUCAAAAAUAGAGUCAGAGAUCCCUAACAAAUGCAGCAGGCAUUCCAAUUGAUUGCCAAGCAAUGAUUGCUGAACACUACCACAAUCAAAAUUCCAAAUCAGGUUCAACAUAUACUACACGCUUUGCUAAACAAAAAGGAAAAACUGAGGCAACCUGCUCCCACUGUGGAUAUCCUGGACAUACUAUUGAUAAAUGUUUCUAACUUAUUGGAUACCCUCUUGGGUGGAAAGGAUCAAGAGGAAAAAGAUUUGCUACUAUGCCACAGACCAGCAAAAACUUUCAACGAUUACCCACUGCACAUCAUACUACUAUCUUGCAACCACAUCUUGACACCCCUAACAUUGUUUUCUCUCAAGAACAGAUGCAAAAUCUACUCACUCUAGCAAAUAGCAUUUCCAGCUCAAAGAUAAAUAACACUACUAAAGAAGUAUCUACAUCAGGUAUAUCUUUUUCAUGUCAUACAUCAUCUUCACCUCAAAAUAGAUUUUCAUGGAUUCUUGAUACUGGAGCCACAUAUCACAUGAUUUGUAGUCCUCUUCUUUUUUAAUCCAUCAUUCUCCCUAAAACUCAGUCUAAAACUCAGUCUAAAGUUCAUCUGCCAAAUGGUCAACAUGUACCAAUUCUCUUCACUGGAACGGUUAAAUUUUCUCCUGACAUCAUUUUAUACAAUGCACUUUAUGUUCCAGCUUUUAAUAUCAAUCUAAUUUCUGUUUCUAAAUUAACUGCCGCUAACACUGUUGGCUUAUUUUUUCUUCACACAAAAUGUAUUCUGCAGGAUCUAAGCAAAUGGAAGAUGAUUGGUCUUGCUGAAGCUGAAUCUGGUCUCUACAAUCUUCACAAACCCCCUGAUCAAAAUACUAAAGAAUCACCUCCUAGAUCAAACAUCAAAUCCUGUGUUGUUGCGACAAAUCUCUAGCAUUUACGUUUAGGCCACAUCCCUCCCUCCAAAAUCACCCUUUUGAACAAAACUGAUCCUUCAGUCACUAUCAGCAACAAUACCAUUUGUGAUAUUUGCCCCCUAGCUAAACAAAAACGGUUGCCCUUUUCUUUAUCUAUUCAUAAAUCUACAACAGCUUUUCAAUUAGUUCACAUUGACAUUUGGGGACCAUUCUCUGUUACCUUUUAUUCUGGUUAUCAAUUUUUUCUUACUAUUGUAGAUGAUUACAGUAGAUUUACUUGGUUAUUUUUAAUGAAAUCUAAAUCUGAAACAAGACAUCUUCUCAGCAAUUUUCUAGCCUAUGUUCAUACUCAAUUUAACACCAACAUUCAAACUCUCAGAUCCGACAAUGGCCAAGAAUUUAAUAUGCCUACUUUCUACCAAACGCAUGGCAUCAUACAUCAAUUAACAUGUGUUGAAACACCUUAACAGAAUGGAAGGGUUGAAAGAAAACAUCAACACCUGCUCAAUUUAGCUCGAUCUCUUCUGUUUCAAUCCCAACUACCUUUAUCUUAUUGGACAAAUUGCAUACUCACAGCCACACACCUCAUUAAUCGUACCCCCUCCCUCAUUCUCCAAAAUCAGACACCUUACCAAGUUCUUUAUCACAAACCACCAUAUUACAAUUACUUAAGAGUAUUCGGCUGUUUAUGUUUUGCUAGCACAAUCACACAUAAUAGAGGUAAAUUUCAUCCCAGAGCCACGAAAUGUAUUUUUCUUGGAUACCCUCCACACAUUAAAGGAUACAAAGUUCUUGACUUAACCAUUUGCAAAACCUUUGUAUCUCGAAAUGUUGUUUUUCAUGAAUCCACCUUUCCAUCUAUUCCAAACAAAGUUCAUACACCCCUUGUGUUCCCUGACUAUCCUCAAAAUUUUGACCCUUUUCCUUGUCUCCCAUCAAACACAACUCUACAUGAUUCUGUUGUUCCUGCAAAACUUCCUAUACAACCUCCUGUUCCUCACAUUUCUCCCCUACCUCCUCCUCCUCUUCCCCAACUUAGAAAAUCUGAAAGAAAUAAACAUCCACCUACUUACUUAACACAGUAUUAUUGUGGACAUAUGGCUCAGAUUGCUUCAGCAACUCCAGACUCUCCACCUUGCUCCCUGCCUGGUAAGCCCUACUCUAUCUUUUCUUUCUUGUCUACCUCCCAAUUAUCUUUACCCCACUGUGCUUUCACUUCUUCUGUUUCAUCUGUUUAUGAACCGAAAACUUACAAACAAGCUAGCUCUAUCCCUCAUUGGCAACAUGCUAUGACCAAUGAAAUCAAAGCUCUUGAGAAAAACAAAACUUGGGACUUAGUCAUUCUGCCACCAAAUAAAACUGUCAUUGGAUGUAAAUGGGUCUACAAAGUUAAAUUUCAGGCUGAUGGACAGGUUGAAAGAUAUAAAGCACGAUUGGUAGCAAAAGAAUACACACAACAAGAGGGAAUUGAUUUUUUUGACACUUUCUCUCCUGUUGCAAAAAUCACAACAGUACGAGUUCUUCUCACCAUUGUUGCAGCCAACAAUUGGCAUUUACAUCAACUUGAUGUAGACAAUGCCUUCCUACAUGGUGACUUAUAUGAGGAAGUAUAUAUGCAAUUACCACCUGGCUACUCCAAUCACAAUGACCCUCGAAUCUGCAAGCUCAAAAAGAGCAUCUAUGGUCUUAAACAGGCUUCUAGACAAUGGUUUUCCAAACUCUCUGCAUCUCUACUUCACUUUGGUUUUCUACAAGCCAAAUCAGAUUCUAGCCAUUUCAUCAAGCAAUCUCACACAGCCCUCAUUGACAUUUUAAUCUAUGUUGAUGAUGUUCUCAUCGCCUCCAAUGAUCUUACAGCACUGACUAUAGUAAAAAACUACCUUCGCACAAUUUUCCCUAUCAAAGAUUUGGGAAACCUUAAAUACUUUCUCGGUAUUGAGGCAGCUCGAUCUACCAAAGGCAUUGUUCUUUUCCAAAGAAAAUAUGCCUUGGACAUACUUACAGACAGUGGUUUUUCUGGCGCUAAACUUGUCAAUUUUCCAAUGGAAUCCACACUCAAACUCAGCACACAUGAUACUAGCCCUCCCUUGACUAAUCCUGCAUCUUAUCGUAGACUUAUUAGCAAGCUUCUCUAUCUUACACUCACAAGACCAGACUUAUCCUAUGCCAUCCAAACUCUCAGCCAAUUCAUGUCAAACCCUCACACCCUAUAUAUGCAAGCAGCAGAGAGAGUUCUUCGGUAUCUCAAAGCCACACCAGGAAAAGGCUUACUUCUCAAAGCUGCUUCUCCUCUUCAUUUAAAAGCUUAUUCUAACAGUGAUUGGGGAGGUUGCAUUGACACUCGUCGACGUGUUACUGGCUACCUAGUCUUUCUUGGAGAUUCAUUAAUAUCCUGGAAAUCAAAGAAACAACCUACUGUAAGUAGGUCCUCUGCAGAAGCUGAAUAUCGGGCAUUGGCAACUACUUCAUGUGAACUACAAUGGCUUACUUAUUUACUAGCCGAUUUCCACAUCCCUCACUCUCAACCUGCCUUACUCUACACUAACAGCAAACCAGCCUCCGAAAUAGCUUACAACCCUGUUCAUCAUGAACGCACCAAACAUAUCCAACUUGACUGUCAUCUUGUACGUGAAAAAAUGCAAGAAGGACUCCUUACCAUCAUUCACAUUCCUUCCAAAUUUCAAUUAGUUGAUGCCCUCACUAAACCACUUGGUUAUCACAUGCUUAAUCCUCUCCUUGACAAGAUGGGAAUGAUAAAUAUCCAUUCUCAUCUUGCGGGGGGAUAUUGGAACCUAGCGCAUACUCACACAAAACAUAAAGAAGCUAAGGAUGCAAACAAUUCUUCACUGCUUGCGGAGCAAGCAACCCCUGCAGCCUACUCCCCUACACCAGAAGACUAACGAAGACUAGCCAAGUUAUCAUAACACAUUGUAAAUUGUGGAUAUAAUAAAGUUAGUUAUAUACUGUUAAACUUAGUUAAACGUUUGUUAACGUUUUAUUAACAGAAGCUAGUUAGAAUAUGUGUGUAUAUAUGUAUUCAUGUAUACUGCAAAAGAGACAAAUAAUAAGAGAAGAAAUACUGCAUAUUGAUUGCAGACUUUCCAAACGUAUCUUCCUUCUUCUUCUCUCAUAAGAAAUUUUAUUCUCUUCUUCUUUCUCUGCUUCUAUAGGAAAGAAUAAAUUCUGCUAUAACAAAAUUAUCAUAAUUAGAGAAAAACAAUUUACUAUAUUUCAUAUGUCACAAAUAUUUUUCAUAAAAUAAAUACAACUUAACUUUGAUAAAUGAUACCUCUAGAAAUGUGGAAUCCAUUUAUAAUUGAAUUAAAAUUAUAUUGAAAUGCUUCUUAUCAGAACAGAAAAAAAAAACAUAUUGAAAUGGGCCUACCAAAUACAGCAUUAAAUAUUUUAAUUACCAUAAAAUUGACAACUAGCAAUGAAAUUAACAACAAAAAAUAUUUUCAUUGGUAAUAUCCGAUGAAAAUAGCAAUGAAACAUAUCCAUUAAAUAUUAAAAAAUUAAAUAGCAAUGGAAUAUGUGCAAUCAAUAAUUAUCAAUGAAAUUGGCAAUGAAAUAAAAAUAAUUAGAAAAAAUAAAUAAAUAUUAUGUCAGCAAUUCCAUCGAUAAUAUGACACAUCAUUAUUUACAAAAUGUUUCAUUGGUAUUCACCGAUGAAAAUAUUUCAUCAGUAGUUUUCAUUGGAAGUUUUGUCGAUAAAUUUACAAGUGUUACAACCAACAACAACCCGCCCUAUCCAUUUCUUCUUCUUAUUUAAUAUCAGAAAAUAGGUACCCUCCUUGUUAUGUCACAAAUCUAGGCCUUGUAUUUAUAAAUUUGACCACCCCAACAUUCAAUAGUGUCAGUAUUAUUAUCUCGGUUCAAUUUUUUCUAAAUACUCACUACACCAAGUAAGCAAACCUACAUAUUUAUGUUUUAGGUUAAUUUAUUGAUAUUUUUGUAAUAUUUUGUAAUUUAAUUGUAUAUUUAAGUGUUUUACAUCUGUUUUUCCUUAAGAAUUUUGUUGUAUUAAAGAAUGAUUUGUAUGUUAGGAUUUGUUUGGGAUUUGAAGAAAAUUGAAUUUGUUUUUCAUUUGAUGAAUUUAAGUUUGAUUUUGUAAUUUAUGUUUGUUAUAUCAGAAGAAAUGAUAAGUUAUUUAAUAGAUAUAAUUAUAUUUUGUCGAUUUUAUUAAGUUUGGAAAUUUUACUAGGUGUGUUAUGCAACCCAAGAUUAAAGACGCGUUGUAGUGUUUUGAUCAUAAACAUUUCAUAAUCCAACAUAAAACAACCAUCACUUGUCAUUUAGGAGUUAGAUUCAAGAACAAAUUAUUGUUGCAAAGGCUAAACUUGAGGUAGAGUAUGAAGAAUGAAGUAGAAAGCAAUGAAAGUAAAUGAUAAUAUACAUGUAGACUUAUUAUUCUCCCACUGGAAAUAUUCAUCCCCCUCCACCUCUACCUUCAUAUGCAGCUCCAACUUUAGUUAGUUAGGAGUUUAUCUAAUAUAUUAAGAUAUUUAUAAUUGAUUUUAUAAUUAAAUUAAUGAAAUAAAAUGUGUUCUUUAAUUUAAUAUAAUUAAAUAUUAAUUUGUUUAAUCUAAAUAAACAUUUAUUAAAAAAAAUAAACAACAAACAUAGAAAUUAAGUUGAUGAUUUUGUCAAUUACAUCAGUCUAUUUGUAUCUAAAAAUUACAUAAAAAUUGUUUAAUUUUUUGGCAUCAUUGAUACAAUCACUGCCAUAAUUUUUAUGUUCACGAUCCGUCAUCGAUACAUGAUCAAUUACCGACUGGUAUUCUGUCGUUUAUCGUUUAUGCCUUGGAACUGUACCUGUGUGUAGGUAUGGACAAUUGCUUUUUAGGCAAGAAACUGCGUUGUGGGAUAGGAGAAGAAGGGGCAGAAACAAGCAAAGAUCAUUCUCUCAUCCUAUUCUUCAUGAAGAGCUCUCACUCUUGAGAUUACAUCAGACCAACAAAAGUUGUUUUUACUCAUCCUAAUAAGAUCAUCACAGAGAAGAUUGGCAAGGAACUUCUAAGUACUGGUGUUGUUUUGAUUUCCUUUUCUUUGGUGGUCUUUGCAUCAUCUGACUUGAUGGUCAUGAUGACACGCCAAGCUUCUCCACCAGAUGUCACUGAAGGUAUUAAGAUCUGCACCUUUUAGCUACGAUCAACUCGCGGUGGCCACGAUGAUUCAAGGAAGAGAUCGGUAAAGGGGCAUCAGGAGGCUCUGUAGAGGCUCGUUAGCAAAGAAUGACGGGAAAGAAAUAGCAGUGGAGAGUCUAGAGAAGGUGGUGGAAGAUGGAGAAGGGGAGUUCCGAAACGGGGUGAAGAUAAUGGAGAGGACUACAAUAACUUGGUACGUUUGAUUGGCUUUUGCAGUGAAGGAUCAAAUAGGCUUCUUGUGCAUGAGUUCAAGAUCAUUCAUUGUAACAUAUUUUCUUCUCUAGAGUUUAUAAUAAAUAAAUUAUUUGUAAGAAAACGAAGUUCAGUUGCAUUGUUGAUGGUGUUCCAAAAUUUACUAUGUUUAGAAAUGAGAAUUUUAAGUGUUUAAAUGAAUGAUGAUUAUACAUUCACUUCUAUAUUUUCUUGUUCACAAUUCAUAAAAUUGAUUGUUGGUGAUAAAAGACUUGACACUUAUAAAAUAGUUUUUUUUUUGUGGGGCUUAGGGGGCAUCUGAAUGAUAAAGUUAAUGACUUUUUAUAUGAGAUUAUAAUAAAUUAAGAAAAUAAGCUUUAAAUAAAAAAAUAAAUAAAAAUGUUUGUUCUUAUUUAUGUAUGAUAAAACACCUUGAAAAUAAGAAUAUAAACACUUUAAAGAAUAGAAAAAGUGUGAACCUUUUACUUGAAUGGUUCAGAGAAAUUUAUAAUGCCUGAACUUUGUUGUUUUUUUUAAGGGGUGGAUAGUCACUUCCUUUUGAAAAUGUAAAUGAGAAAAAACAUCUUACACAACAUUAAUUUUAAUGGAAAUAACCCUUACAUUAAUAUUGAUUGGAAUACGUAGGACUUGUAAGAGAUUUUUAUAUAUUAUUUUGUAUGUAACAUUAAUGUUGAUGGGAAUUGUCUUUAAUCAACAUUAAUUUUGAUUAGAAUAUGACAGGUUUUUGAAAGAUUUUUAUACACCUAAGAAUAUGACUAUCAUAGACUCUUAAUAUUUUAUGUUAAGAAUUAUAAAAUAGCUUUAUGACUCAAUAUAGGGCUUAUAAAAACUUUUAACCCCAUAUGUAUUUGCACCUAGAUUGAUUUUAAACUCAAGGGUUUUGAGUCAAAUAUUUUGUCAGACCCAUAGGAACUUGAGCUUUAGCGUCAGACCUAUAUUCACUCAGGCUUAACGCGUAGCUGAGUCCAAUGGUAUUUGGUCUGGAAUCUCGUCAAACUCACAUGUACUUGAGCUCAACACAUAAUUAAACUCAAGGGUGUUGGGUCAAGAAGCAAGCCAGACUCACAUCAUCUAGGUUAACACCUUGCUUUUGACCUUUUUUAUGAUUGGCUUCUUAAGCAAACAAAUUGUGUAUAAAAUAUACUAAUCUAGUAGUGGCCCCGUAAGGGUAUUUCUUCCAUCUUGCUUUUGAGUUAAGGUAUUCCAUCCAUUUUCAAGGAUUUAUGAGAGACAUCUUUAGGUAUUAUAAAUUGGGUUUAAGCCAAUUGCACCCCAAAUGAUGGGUGAUUUUAGGGGCGAGUAAAAAAAUUAAAAAACCAAUUAAACCAAGAAAACAAAAAAAAUAACAAAAAAAACUGAACGGUGAAAAAAACCAAAUUAAACUGAUUAGAAUGUUUAAAAAAAUUGACCGGUUUAGUUUUGGUUUCAUAAGCCUAUAUAUAUAUAAAUUGUGUCCAGCUUGCUAUGUGUGGAGUCAGUUGCACAACUCUUGGGUCCUAUGUCAAGAAUUGUGACUUAGGGCGUUUCUUUCUUUGCCAAAAGCUUCUGGCAGCCAAACCCAUAACACUUCCAAAACAUACCAAUAACCUUGGGUCUUGCUACCCAACAUGGCCUAAUAGUGUUGUGAAAGGCAUAGCCAAACCCAAAACACUUCAAAAAAGAACUGGGUUUGGUUGACCAGCCAAACCCAACAAUCUUAGGUCUGGCUCGGCAGCUAAACCCAACACCUUUUUGAAGUGUUUUGGGUAUAGCUCCACACUAUUGGGUCCUGUAGUAGGACCCAAUGCUAUUGGCACCUUCUUGGGUCUAAUUGGGUAGCCUGACCCAAUAUCUUUAGGUCCGGCUGUACAACCAUACCCAAAAUAGUUUUGGGUUCGACUGUUUAACAGGACACAAUAGGUUUGGGGACCAAAUAACACUAGGUCCAAACCAAAUUUUCUUGAGUCCAGUGUCCGGACGGUGUUGCACCUGAUACUAAUGGGUUCUGCGUCGCGACCCAAUUCUCUAGUGUCCAUGUUAGGACCCAUGGUUCAAGUAUCCGGCUUUAGGACCCGAUUGUAUUUUGUCCGCGUCAGGAGCCAAGUGUAAUGGGUCCUACUUUUGGACCUAAUUAUAUUGGUAUCGCAUGUGUGCGGUGUCGCGGCGAACUGGUUUCACUUUAAAUCUAAAAGUAAAUCUAUCAAGCAAAUAUGGGGAGACAAGAAAUUUUUGUCGCUUAUCGGUGGAAAAUGGAAUGUGAGUCGCCACCUAGUAUUUUGAUCACUAGGAACCCUAACUGGUCUCAGAGAUCGGGUACGGGACUGAUUGCGUAAAUGGAAGGUAUUAGUACCCCAAAUACGCUUUACCCAAGGUAAGCUGCAUUGUUUGAUUGUCUGAUAAAAGCUAAGGUGUUAUUGUAUUUCUAGUUGUUGGUCUGUCUAUGGUUCAAGAAAAAUCCUCCUCAAUAAAGAGGUCCUUAUCUUAUCGGGUAAAAACUUAAAUGUUCUAACGUCUAUAUGAAAACUAUAUUUUUAAUAUCAGGAAUGCGUUUUACGUAUAAAUUCGUAAUCCUAGAUACUAAAAGAAGACAAAAGGAUUUUUUUUGAAUUUUUGAAAUAUUGGCCUAGUUCUCAUGACUCUAACAAACUUGUUGUUAAAGCCAAAGUGCAUGCUAAUACAUAUAUAUUUUUUUGAAAUUUUUCCCUGUUGUAUGCAAAUAUAAUGUGAUGAUUUUUUAUAUAUAUUUUGGAGAGACUAGGCCGUAUGCAUGAAAACAAAACACUUUUUUAUUUUAUUAUAUAUUUUUUAUGCCUUGAUGAAAACCGGGUAUUUUAAUACUAGAUUUUUAUCUUUACGGUAUAAAAAUACAAACCAAUAUUAAGCAAUAAAAAUAUGCAGGAAAAUCAACAAUUUUUUUAAGGAUUUUUCAGAAUUUUGAAUAUAAAACAUUUUAUAUUUUAUAUUUUUUGAUGUAUUGAUGAAAACCAUGUAUUUUAAUACUAGAUUUGUAUCUUUACAGUAUAAAAAUAAAAACCAAUAUUGAUCAAAAUGCAGUAACAAUAUUGCGGAAAAUCACAAAUUUUUUGAAAUAAUUUUUGAAGAAUUUUGUUUUUUUUAUGGGUCGGGUCCAAUUCGGCCCAUGUGGCUGGGGCGGAACCAAUAGGCCUAACUAGGCUGGACCCGGCCCAAAAGAAGACCGGGCUGAAAUCAGCCUAAAAUAAAAUGGGCCUACCUUCUAUAGGGUUGGACUCAGCCCAGCCGUAGGGCUGGGCUUAUGUUCCAGCCCGAAACAAAUGUGGAGCACAGUCCAGUUAAUUAAUUAGCACAGUAACCAGCUAAUUAUUUUUCUUGCAAGAAGAUGAACAGUAAGAGGGUUGAGGGGAAGAGUUACCAAGGGUGAUGAGCUUGGACGGAGGAGCUCUUCCUCUUCUCUGCUGUUUUUGACGUUGCUUCUUCUCUUGGUUUCCUUUGUUCCCUCUGUUAACGAUAUUCUUCCUUCUCUGCAGCGGCUUCGUGGAGGUGCUGGUGGUGGCGACCUGGGGAGGGGCUGAGAAGGUGGUUUGGCGAUGUUGUUGCUGCAGUUUUUUUUUCCUUCGUAGAGGCGCAGGUUCCUGUUUUUUCUUCAAUGGUGUUGUAGCGUGUGGGAGGAAGAUGAUGAGCUGAGGAAGGAUGACGAUGGCGUGGGCAGUGCUGUUGUGUUUGUGUUCCUGGUGGCGUUGUUGUCGGGGUAUCCGGCUGUGGUCGCUCUUCCUCCUCUCUUCUGUCGUUACUUCUCUCUGUUUAUGUCACCUUGUUUCUCUGCUUCUUCUUCGCUAGCUCUAAAAGGAAGGCAGGCGGUUGUAGUGUGGUUUCAAACGGUGGAGAGAGAGAGAGAGCAGAGAGAGAGGUUACCGUUCUUCUCUUCCCCUCUAUUUUCCUUCUUUCUCUUCUGCCAUGUUUCUCACCUCUCUAUCGUCUUUCGUUAAAAAAAAAACUCUCCCCCUUUCUCUCUUGUUUUUUUUUCCGUCUCUUGUUCAAAAAACAAAAUUGACCCUUCUGUCUCACAAAAAACCUCCCUCCUCUGUUUUGGUUUCUCUCUUCUCUACACUCUCACAGUACCUCUUCUCGUUUCAAACUUCCCUAUCCUUUCAGUUUCCAAAAGCCCUGCCCCUCAUUCUGGUGUUGGGCGCAAUAUUUAUAGAGCAAAGAAAAAGCGUCUUGCUGUCGCGCAUGGGAAGCAGGAGACACCGGGUGAGGUCUCCAACAGGCGUGGCUUUGCAGGGCACGUCUACACUGUUUUCUAGCCAUGGAAUUUUAGGUUUAUGCAGCAGCAUGCAGGGAGAGAGAAGUUUCUCAAAAUGACACUAUUUUUUUUUUUUUGAUAGGGUAUUGAAAAAUGAGUUACAACAAUUGGGAUAUAUGUCAGGAUUCAAUUCUCUUGGGUCCUACAUAGUUUAAGAUUAAUGAAUUUUAGAUUUUUAAAUAUUAUUAUUUAUGUUAUAAAUAUUAUUAUUUUUAUUAUAAUUAAAAAUAUUAAUAUAAAAAUAUUGUUUUUUGUGCUAUAAAUAUUAUUAUUUUUAUUAUAAUUAAUUUUAUUAAUAAAAUAAUUAAUAAAUUUUAAAAAAAAUUAUUAUUAAUAUUGAAAAUCAACCAUAGAUUUGAUUUGAAAUGUAAAAUUGAAAAUUUUUAUUGUUAUCAUUAAUAAAAAAAAAUUAAAAAAAUUAUUAUUACUAUUGAAGAAAACCCAUAAUUUUUCAAAAAGAUUAACAAAUAUAAGAAUUUAGACAGACAAGUUAAAUAUUAUUACUUAUAUUAUAAAUAUUAUUGUUGGGUUUGUCAUUACAGUCAGACUCGACUCCUUUAAUUUUUCUGUUUCAACCAGACCCAAAGCUUUUGAGCCAUAUAUUUUUUUCAUAUUUUUUAUUAAAAUAAAACGUUGGCUGCAAUAUAGUGCAGGCCACCUAACUAAUAAUGGACUCCAAAUAAAUUAAUUCUGCUUCAAGGAAAACAAACAUAUUAAAAUCAUAAAAACAUUUUACUAUAAAAUAUUAUACAGAAUAAACGUAACUUACUCUAAAUUUCCUCAAACAAUCUUGCAUUGCAAGAUUAAAUGGGCAGUAACAACGCCAGGAAAGCUUUCUUGUGGAUUUAAACACAUUUUUCUAUUCCUCUUAAUUAUGGGAGGGGGGAGCUAUCUUCUGCUGUGUAGGAAGAUCUGAUGAAACAAAGGAACAAUUGUUUUCAUUUUACCAAAAACAUAUUUAGUGGAAGACAACCCUGCCAUCACUGGUGAAGAGCAAGGUCGCAUUACUGGGGACUGGGGCGUCAUCCCUUCUAGCAGCCCACACAACAGUCUUUAGUGAAAUCCCGGAUAGAAAAACCCCAAUAGAAUAGCCGUCGCGUUGUCGGAAAAAUCCGAAAGCAUGAAGACCAGAAGGUGACAACCAUAAGGAGUUUGGGUUAGGUGUUAGAGAAGAUCCGAGGGUUAUAUUGGUCUGUCUUUGAGCUGAAGCUGUAAAAGAUAAGGCGAGAAGAAGAAAAAAGAUGAUAGAAGCCAUGGAUAGGGAUUUAGCUCUUGUGUGGUAUGUGAGUGUCAAAAUAAGGAUGUCUAUUGUUCCAGCACUCCAUUAUCUUUCUGUGGUUUCCAGCAGUCAAGCCAGGCACUCAAAACAUAAAAGUCUAGCCAUAGAAUCCACCGCGUUUCCCUACCAAUUGGUGGAAAUUGUUGCUCUUACUUUUAUGCUUUCAAAGUCAAUGCAGUCAACUCACCGAAAAAACUUGGCAAUUACUUGGCGCUGGUCCCCCUUUUCGAUCUUGGUAUCCCCCAUUUGAUCAGCCAUUUGCUAAUUUCCCCUGGACUGUUCUUGGUUCUAAUUUUCUGCAGCAGAUUCUUUUUUAUUUGUCAAGUACCAUCAAUAUGCUUUUGAUAACACAAUCUUGAGCUUCCUGCAGACAGCUUCAACUACUUGAGAGAUGCCAAUUGUGGUGCUAAUGCUAAUACCCCGCCAUAAUACUAGGGCAAGGCAGAACAAAUGGAUUAUAUUCAUGUCCUUCGAUGCAAAAGGCUAGAUAGCAACGUCACUUUCUAACAAAAGAUCAUGUUAUAAUUAACCCUUAUGGACAACUUAAUUAGUUUAUGGACAACUUAAUUAGUCCUUUCUUGAGUUUUUUUUUCAAUAAUCAUGAGUUUGAGUUCUUUCAGAAUCAUUAAAAGUUUACAUGAUCAUUAAAUUAAGAAUAUGUGGGAUUAGUCGAGAUGAGCACAAGUUAAUCCGGACAUCAACGUUAACAAUAAAAAAAAAAAAUCAUGUUAUAAUUUAUAUGUGAAAAGUAGGGAUUUUGAAUUCGGGUAAUCUCAACAAGGUUGUACUUUUCUUUCUCCAGGUCAACUUGGAUCUUCCUCUGUUCUCAUGUUUAGCUUCCUGCAAGAACAUUCCUUCCGAGGCACAUUUUUCCUGAAAUUAUACUAUAUAUGGGAACUUUCAAGUUUUGUUUGAAAUAAAACUUUUAUUUGCUUCCUCACGAUUUCAUUUUAGUCUCGAAUUUAAGAUAUUUUUUCGUAAAUACACUAGUUUGGAUAUGAAUGGCCAGCGUGAAACUUCAUAGAAGAUGGACCGUUGAUUCUAUGGUUUUUUCCACACGUAUUUUGCAGGAACAGCAAGUGGACGUAUGAGUAAAGUAAUGUAUCUCUUGUCCUUGGCUGUAACCGGUCUUUCUUUAUCUUGUAAUAACAAGGUGAGUUCGAUUGAGGGUUCCGCUGUAUGACUAUAUUCAGAGUAUAAUUAAGGUGGUCACAACAGGGACUGAGUCAAUGUACAACCGAGCAUUUGCUGGCAGGCUCUUCUCAGCAAAAAUGUCUUCUCUUACUAGCUUCAAAGCCAGUGGUGUAUCCUCAAUACAAGUUGUUGCAACUCUGAAGAACAUAUUGCUAGUAUUUGUUGAGACUUGAGAAUAACAUUACCCAUCUAGAAACCUGGCCAAAAUAUAGGUUUCAGUUUUCCAGCCAUAAUCCCGACACAUGAGAUAAGGUGGGAAACAACUUUACAGGCAUUAACAUUAGAAGAAAAAUCAACAGGAAGCUAUGCUGCGUAAACAUAAAGGAACUCAGUACGAAAUAGCAAUUUUAUAAAGAAAAGGAAUACAUGACCUGAAAAAUAAAAUACCACACCCUGCAGAUGAAUCUCUUAUUCCGAACCACAAAACGCAGCUCAUAUAGCAGUAAAAAAAGAAGUAGGACUUGGAGGGAUUGGGAUUUCGACUGUCCCCUCCAACAUGAGGAGUACCUUUUUCAUUGAAGGGCGGAGGGAUAGCUCAUCAAGAGUGCACCAAAGUCCCACUUUAACCAUCCUAUCUAACUGUUUCUUUUCGACGAUUUCAUCACCCACAAGUUUGUCCAUAUCACCGUCCAGAAAACAUUGGUAAACCCACUGUUCGAGAACAGCUUCAUCCUCUGGAAGACUCCAAUCCACAUUCUUUCGACAACAUGUGAUCUCCAACAACAUAACUCCAAAGCUAUAAACAUCUGCUUUAACUGUCACCGGCAUAUUCCGGUGCCAUUCUGGUGCUACAUAUCCCCUCGUCCCUCUGAUUCCCGUGAAGGUAUUAGUUUGGUCUGACUUCAGAAUUUUUGCCAAUCCAAAGUCAGAAACUUUGGGGCACCUGCUUUCAUCUAUUAGUAUAUUCUGAGGUUUUAUAUCACAGUGGAUGAUCUGAGUCUCGCACUCUUCAUGUAGAUAAACAAUACCCCUUGCAAUGUUGCGAGCAAUUUCCAACCUUUCAUGGAAGCAAGGUCGUUUUUCAAGUGAGAAGAGUAUGUCAGCGAGGGAGCCAUUGCUCAUGUACUCGUAUACCAGGAGCCUGUGAUGUUCAUCAUGGCAAUAGCCGAGCAGACGGGCUAGGUUUCUGUGAUGUGUUUUCCCAAUGACUUUCAUCUCAUUCUGAAAUUCUCUUUCCCCUUCAGCUAGAACUUUCUCCAGUCUCUUGACAGCAACAACCUUCUGAGUACUUGAUAUGAUCCCUUUAUAAACUGUCCCAAAUGAUCCCCUGCCAAUUUCUUCCUUGAAACCACCAGUAAUAUUUUCUAGCUCUGCAUAAGUGAAAGCUCGAGGAGCAAAUAACCAAGUAAUACAAUAAAUAUAGCAUAAUAGUUUAAGGAAGAUUGCAAGUAGAUCUAACGACAACAUUAAUAGUUGCAUAUGUGUGUGUGUGAAGAUUCAAAAAAACCUAAUUUAGAAAAUACAAAAAAAAAAACCAAGUAAUGAUAGAAAAAUAGAAAGAAAAGUAUUAAAUUCUGUUUAGAUUGUUCACCUAACAAUUUAAAUUUAUUUAAAUUCUAUAUAGAUAUUGUAUUGCGAUUGGUCACGUACCGGUUUGGAUCCAUUUAGAUUUUGAUUUGGUUACCUAACAAUUAAAAUCCAUUUCAAUUUUCAUGUAUUAUCUUUUUAUAUAUAUAUAUAUAAAUUUAUUGUACAAAUAUAAUGGAAAAUGAAUUAUAACUGUUGUAAUCCAUUUUUUAUCUCUAAUUUUUCACAUGUAUUUUCAAAAAUAGAACAAAUCUUCCAAAAUAUAUUUUCAAUGAAAUUCAAUUAUUAUUUAUUUAUUAUUAUUUUUGUGUGCGUGACAAUAUAGAAAAAUAAAAAUAAAAUAAAAUUAAGGAAAUGAAAUGAAAGGCAAGAAAAACUUCAGACCGGUAUGAUUGAUGACUAAAUAAUAUAUGGAAAAUCAAGAUGAGAUUGGAAAAUUUUUGCAAAAAAUCAAUAAGAAGAUGAAAUAAAAUUUUAUAAUAGUAGUUUUCCUGUUUUGAGAGUAUCCCACAAACAACAUAUAUAAACAUGAGAGAACACUACACACACAAGUACACAGAGAUAGAGAGAUUAAAAAAGACAAGUAUACUUUUGGGCUCGUUCUUGGAGCUUACAAGCAAGUUCCAUAUAGGAAAAACCUUGGUCAACAAGAAGAAAAAAUGGCAAAAAUUAGAUUGCUCUCUGCAAGCGUAAUUCAAGCCACUGCUAACAAGGUGACAAAUGAGAGGGCUGAGUUGACUCAAUGUGAUCUAAAGCUUCUUCCGCUAGGUGCUUCUCUUCCUCAAACCCAAAUCAUCAGAAGAUCAAGACUUGUUCAUCCAACAGUUGAAAACGUCACUUUCUCGGACUCUAGAUUUCUUCACCCCUCCCGUGUUGGAAGUUAAAACCGGUGUGGUAUGGGAUCAACACAGUAAUACAAGAUAAAAAAAACUCAAGAACAAAGCUAAACAACAAGAAAAAGAAGGAGAGGAAGCUUGUUAGCCACUGUAGAACAUGAUGAUAACACAGUCUCCAAUUUCAUUGACUGCAAAAAUGCAGGAGCCCAGUUUGUUCAUGGCGCCAUGGCCGAUGGGGUAACCAUGGCUGACAUCCUCCGGCCAGUUUAUGUUCCUCCAAUUGUCCACUCUUUCUUUCCAUUGAAAGGGGUCCUAAACCACGGGGCUACUGAUGUCUCCAAGCCAUUGCAUGCCUGCAGUUCAAGUCACUGAACUUGUUGGUGGCAUCUUUAAUGGCUGUACCAUGAACCAUAUAGUUGUUGAUGGCACAUCGUUUUGAAAUUUCUUCAACUCUUGGUCUGAAAUCCAUCGUGGGUUGGAUCACAUCUCCAAGCCUCCUGUUCUUGAACGUUGGUCACCUCCCAAUCGUAGCUGCAGCUGCCUGAUCCAAAAGCAAUAAGCCGUUGCCUGCAUGCUUGUACCUUUUUUUUCUCCAAAAAAAUGGGUGUAUAAGGGGUAGUUUUUCCAGGCGUAAGACACGUCAUCCAUUAGUGUAUUUCCCGGUUAUUUUCAGUCCUAUAAAUGCAAGGUUUGAUUUACUAUAUCCCUAAAGCUUGAUUUUUAAGUAAUAUUCACCUGAAAACAUCCAAACAAAACUCAAUAAAUCUUUUUUGAAUCCAAAAUUAUCCUCUAAUCAUUCUAAAAAUUAAAAAUCAAACCAAAUGAAAAAAACAUUACAAGCCUUAAAGGGUGUUUGAGAGUGUGGUAGCGGUUGCUUUUCAAAUAGCUUUUCGUGCCGAAAAGCAUGCCAAUAAUAUUUUUUUAUUUUUUAAAAAUCAUUUUUGACAUUAGCACAUCAAAACGAUCCAAAAAAUACAAACCGCACUCAAUUUUAGCAAAAAAUAAAAAUAAAUUUUUUUUGAAUUUUUUCAAAAAGCCGAUUUGGCCGCAAUGCCAAACAGGCAAUUAAUCAAUCUAUCUGUCUAUAUAUAUAUAAAACUGAAAUAUAUAUAAAAAUUGAAAAUUGAAGAUUGCACUAUAUAUAACUAAAGAGUGCAAUUUACAUUGAAGAGGGAAAGUUCUUGCUUUUUUUUUUUUAAUUAUUAUUAUUAAUGUUGAUGUUCGGAUUAGCUUACUCGUACCUCAAUUAAUUUAAAAUGUUCUAAAAUUAACGACCAUGUAAACUCUUCUAGUGAUUCUAAGAUUUAUAAAAUUCAAACCGAUGAUUUUUAAAAAACAAGUCUAGAGUCUAAUUAAUUAAACUAUACCUUUUAAAAUUAAGUUAUUAUUCUUUUAUUCAUAUUGAUUAUUGACAUUUAGCGAAGAUUUGUUUUUUAAAAAUUCAUGUUUGCAUGACUCUCUAAAAGACCCUACACAAGUUCGAUUUUUCUUUUCUUUCAAUUAGAUUUUUUUUUUCUGUUUUCACUUUAAUUAAAUAGAGUCAGGUUGAGCAUCAUAUAUAUUGCACGAUACUCAUCUUAAUGAAAAUAGGAUGAGACUUGGCUAUUAUUUUUUCUAUUAACAAGCUUUAAUAACGUAAUUAUAAUGUAUGUGAAUGAUUGAAUUAUAUUUAAUCGAAUUGUCUAAAUGCAAUGAAUAUAGCAUUAAACUGACUAAAUUCUUUUCAUAAGGGUUUAUUUACUUAUUUAACAAUAAUUUUUAAACUUAAUCCCACAAUUAAUUUGAAUAAGUUUUAGAUCACGAGUCUAUUUAUUUUUUAUUUUAUAAAUGAUAAAAAUAAUAUUAUUUAAAAAAAUAAUAAGUUUUAAUUAAGCUUUUUUUAGAUUGACCAGAUUAUUGGUCAAACCAAGUUUUUUAUCUAGUCAUAUUGAGCUAAGUCUUCUUUUAUUUUUAUUGAAAUUGACUUAAUUAGAUAUCAAAUCACAACUCAACCCUUUAGUCUGUUGAAGUUUUAAAUUAAUGGAUUUAACACAAAUACAAGGUUUGAAUGGGGCUUCUCCAAGGAAAACUCGAAUAAGAGAGCUAUGUUUAGAUGGUGUUUGUGUGUGAGUUUUAAUUAAUUAAUUUUAUUAAAAUUUGAAUUUUUUUAAUUAUUAUUUUAGUAUUUUUUGAUUGUUUUAAUAUGGUGAUAUUAAAAAUAAAUUUUAAAAAAGAAAAAAAUAUAUAUUUUUAAUAUUUUUCAAAUACAAAAUAUUUAAAAAAAAUUAUUGAUAGACUGUUAAAUACUCUUUCAAAUAAAAAAUAUUUUUAAAAAAUAUAUUAAAAGCCCCCUUUAAGCUUACCAAAACCUCAGAGCAAAAAACAAGAAAGGAAAAGAGUAAAACAAAAUGGCUCCAGCCAAGAAAGGAAAACCGAAGGCAAACUCGGCCGUGUCAACUCAGUCAAAACCCACAGCCCCAAGUCCCCAAAACAAUUUCCCAUCUUGCAUACGUGCAGUCCCUCCUUCCUCCGUCGCCAUCACCAUCCACGCCAAACCCGGUUCCAAAUCCGCCUCCAUCACUGGUGGGUCUAUACACACGUGCAAAAGGACUGUUUUGAUUCUUGUUUAGGUUAAAAAAUUAAAGCUUCAAUGUGUUUUUUUCUUCCUGAUAUUGUAUGUAGAUUUGAGUGAUGAAGCGGUGGGAGUACAAAUAGAUGCACCUGCUAAAGAUGGUGAAGCUAAUGCUGCACUUCUUGAUUACAUUAGCUCUGUAAGUCUUUUUUUUUUCCCUUACGUUAUAAGUUGGUUAUUCGUUUUUAAUGUUUUGUGAUAGAGAAUUAUUGGCUUAAUUUUCGAGAAUUUUACAGGCAUGUGUGAUGUUAAUCAAUGCCUGUCAAAUUUUUUGAUGUUUCGGUACUACGCAUAUGGAGAGAAAUAUUUUGAGUUGGUACAGUUUUGGCUGAAUUUUCUAGAGGAAAGGAGAUUUGUAGCAUGAGGUCGGGAGACGAAAGUGGCUUUUUUUUUUUUUGGAGAGAAACGGUAGAACGGAUUCUUACGGUUCAUCAAAUUUUACAGGCAUGUGUGAUGUUAAUCAUUGCCUGUCAAUUUUUUUGAUGUUUUGGUACUACGCAUAUGGAGAGAAAUAUUUUGAGUUGGUACAGUUUUGGCUGAAUUUUCUAGAGGAAAGGAGACUUGUAGUAUGAGGGCGGGGGAUGAAAGUGGCCUUUUUUAUAUUUUUUUGGAGAGAAAUGGUAGAACAGAUUCUUACAGUUCAUGAAUUAAUUAGAGAGGGUUUUAUUUUGUCUUUGGGCUUGCAUGCAAAAGGAAUGGUGAAUCUAUAGUCCUUAUAUUUAGCCUAUCAGUAUUUUGAUGAUGGAUUUGCUGGAUUCUAGACAUGCGCAAUGAGUUAGAAAACAGCAUCAAUGUGCUUAAUGUAGAGUAUUUGGAAGCAGUCAAAUAUUGAUGCUUUUUUUGGGAUCAUGGCUCGUGUCCUUGAGAUUAUUUUGAAAGAGGGUUAUGCUGGCACUUUGUUAACUUCUAUUGGGAGUUUUUAUUAUGAUAGUGUAUCUGGCAUUUUCCUAUUUCAUCAAGUUGGUGUAAGUAUUUGAUGCAAGUUGAGGAUUGAGUUAAUUUUGAACGCAUAUGGUAAUAAUAAUUUUUUUACUGACCUUUUGAAACCAUGAAUUGCUAGGAAGAGUUUGAAAUUGAAAGAGGAUGAAAGAGUAAAUGCAUUAAGAGAGAGGAUGCGAUUUCAUGAGUGAUAUAAUCAACUGGGAUCCCUGGCUUAGCCCAAUAGUAGAUGAAAAGCUUCUCUCUUCCAUAGGAUAAGUGUGAUUUAGAGCAUUUAAUCUUCUGAAAAAAUAAUAAUGAGGUGUUUACUGUUCAAUCACAACUGUAAACAUGGUUGAAUAACUGAAGAGAGUUAUUUAUGAAAAUUAACAAAUUCUUGUCGUGAUAUCUUGCAUUUAGAUAGAGAACCUCCUCUGUUUUAGUACAGAAAAGGUUCACAAGUAUGGUUCUCUCAACCAACAGGUGUUGGGGGUGAAGCGGAGGCAGGUAUCCAUAGGCUCUGGUUCUAAAUCGAGAGACAAGGUGGUGAUUGUGGAGGAGGUAACUCUACAAAAUGUUUUUGAUGCUUUGGAGAAAGUGUCCAAAUGCUGCUAAUUUAAAAAGAAGAAGAGAGGUUCAGUGUGCUUUCGUUAACAAGAGAUAUGAUUUACAUGAUCUUAUACUGAACACAAGGUAUUUGGAUAGGACAACAUUCCUAGUCCACGCUGAUGUUUAAAAUAGUUUGGUCUGUAGUUUUGUUUCUUCUAUCUCACACUGAAACAAUAAUCUUUUUAUUUAAAACUGUAAGUACAGAAGCUGUAGUGUUACUUAUGAAUAUAAUGACUGAUGUUCCAUGAAUAUUCAAGUUAGAUGCUAAUUUAUUCAUCUUCACCAUGGUUCUUCUAGUUCUCAUUUUUCUUUAUGAUUUCUUCCCCCUUUUUUCUUAUGAAUUUCACUAAGAGAUCAUUAUAGCUAUACUUUUGCACGACAGGCUUGCUAAUACCUAGCGACAUGCUGUGAAAACCAUCUUAUUUUGUCCUCCAGCUUUUGAUUCUUCUGGCUGUUUUGCCAUUAAUAAUGCUAGAUUUAAGGUUUAGGUCCGCUGUUGUUAUUACCUGAUUUUUGUGUAAUUCGCCUAUAAAUGAAAUUACUCUCUAGUGAUAAAAGGAAUGGAGUGCAGAUAUUGUGUCAUGAACAAAAGGCUAGUAUUUGUUUAUUGCAGGAGCAAGAGAAGUCUCGGCUCAUACUUGGCCAGGAAAACAUUUAUCUUUUUCACACUGUAUAAGCAUUUUGUCAUGAGGGUAAUCUUAUUGAUUAAGAAUCAUCUAUCAGAAGUGGAGUAUCCUCAAUACAAGUUGUUGCAACUCUGAAGAACAUAUUGCUAGUAUUUGUUGAGACUUGAGAAUAGCAUUACCCAUCUAGAAACCUGGCCAAAAUUAUAGGCUUCAGUUUUCCAGCCAUAAUCCCGACACAUGAGAUAAGGUGGGUAACAACUUUACAGGCAUUAACAUUAGAGGAAAAAUCAACAGGAAGCUCCCAAAUGCUGCGUAAACAUAAAGGAACUCAGUACGAAAUAGCAAUUUUAUAAAGAAAAGGAAUACAUGACCUGAAAAAUAAAAUACCACACUCUGCAGAUGAAUCUCUUAUUCCGAACCACAAAACGCAGCUCAUAUAGCAGUAAAAAAAGAAGUAGGACUUGGAGGGAUUGGGAUUUCGACUGUCCCCUCCAACAUGAGGAGGACCUUUUUCAUUGAAGGGCGGAGGGAUGGCUCAUCAAGAGUGCACCAAAGUCCCACUUUAACCAUCCUAUCUAACUGUUUCUUUUCGACGAUUUCAUCACCCACAAGUUUGUCCAUAUCACCGUCCUGAAAACAUUGGUAAACCCAUUGUUCGAGAACAGCUUCAUCCUCUGGAAGACUCGAAUCGACAUUCUUUCGACAACAUGUGAUCUCCAACAACAUAACUCCAAAGCUGUAAACAUCUGCUUUAACUGUCACCGGCAUAUUCCGGUGCCAUUCUGGUGCUACAUAUCCCCUAGUCCCUCUUAUUCCGGUGAAGGUUUUAGUUUGGUCUGACUUCAGCAACUUUGCCAAUCCAAAGUCAGAAACUUUGGGGCACCUGCUUUCAUCUAUUAGUAUAUUCUGAGGUUUUAUAUCACAGUGGAUGAUCUGAGUGUCGCACUCUUCAUGUAGAUAAACAAUACCCCUUGCAAUGUUGCGAGCAAUUUCCAACCUUUCAGGGAAGCAAGGUCGUUUUUCAAGUGAGAAGAGUAUGUCAGCGAGGGAGCCAUUGCUCAUGUACUCGUAUACCAGGAGCCUGUGAUGUUCAUCGUGGCAAUAGCCGAGCAGACGGACUAGGUUUCUGUGAUGUGUUUUCCCAAUGACUUUCAUCUCAUUCUGAAAUUCUCUUUCCCCUUCAGCUAGAACUUUCUCCAGUCUCUUUACAGCAACAACCUUCUGAGUACUUGAUAUGAUCCCUUUAUAAACUGUCCCAAAUGAUCCGCUGCCAAUUUCUUCCUUGAAACCACCAGUAAUAUUUUCUAGCUCUGCAUAAGUGAAAGCUCGAGGAGCAAAUACCUCAUUCAAUGCAGUGCCAUCAUUAUUGGGCACCCUUUUAUAUGCCAAUACAUGAUAUCUGUAAACGAUGAUUCCGAAAAUCGACACCAUAGCAAGCCCAAAAACAACAAAUGAACCACUUAUUAUUCGGAUAGUCCUGCCACUGCCAAGGUUCUUCUCGGUUAUAGGCUCUUUUCUGUCCAUGGGUCUACCCACCUUGACGACAGCCAAGUUCGAACUGUCCAAGUUUCUCCUCCCAUAUCUCAAAGGAAACCUUUGCUUUCUGCAGUACUGCCCAUCAGUGAAUAAUGCUGCUUCACAGUUACAGUCUUCCAAACAGGCUUGCUUACAAUUGUCUUUCGUUGUUGAUGACAAAACGGAGUAUGAAACAUCUUCCCAGACAAUAUUAGACAGCUCUUCCAUGGUGUAUGUGCUACUUCCAUUCUUGUCCCUUGCAACUUACAGCAUCGAAAUCCCUCUCACAGCCAGAAGUCCAAUUUCCCUGGGUAACAAACUUAAAUCCAGGAAGACAAAUACAUUCAGCUUCCUGAUCCUUCAUAACACAAUAUCCAUUAAGACCACAUGAUCCUUUCGGGUCGCACUUGUUGCUUGUGGAUGACCACACAUCUGACCAGUUUCCAUUCCGUAUCAGAUUUCGUGAAUAUAAUCUGAAAAUCCCAUCAGCAUCAAGUUUCAUAAUAUUAAUUGUUUCUUUCGUGGGAUAUCCUCCAGCUGUAAUGUUUUUUAUGUUGAAUCCUGUGGAAUUGAGCAGGUAGAGACGGCCAUCCGGAUCAAGAUUUAGGGUCACAUCAUCUCCCUUCCCAUCAGUAAAAGAUGAAAAAUAAGAAUAUGGAGCUGUAUCUGGAGUAUUAACAGGAUACUGCACAAGGUUGCCAUCAUUUUGCAUCUUGAGUCGGUAAAUACCAGUUGAGAGGUCAGUUUCUGAAACAGGAGAAAACAGCUCUGCACCCGCUUUGAGCUGUUGAGUUGGCAAAAGGGUAUCUGUUGGGUGCUCAAAACUCUGCCAUAUAAUCUGGCGAUCAGAAUUAUAUAGCACAAAGUUGCCUGAAUCAGACAUAGAAGCUAAAGAAGCUGGCUGGGAAGCAGAAACUAUCGCAGUCUCACCCCCUUGUGCUGAUGUCAAGACAACCCUGCCAUCACUGGUGAAGUUCAAGGUCGCAUUACUGGGGACUGGGGCAUCAUCCCUUCUAGCAGCCCACACAACAUUCUGUAGUGAAAUCCCGGAUAGAAAAACCCCUAUAGAAUAGCCAUCGCGUUGUCGGAAAAAUCCGAAAGAAUAAAGACCGGAAGGUGACAACCAUGAGGAGUUUGUGAUAGGUGUUAGAGAAGAUCCCAGGGUUAUAUUGGUCUGUCUUUGAGCUGAAGCUGUAAAAGAUAAGGCGAGAAGAAGAAAAAAGAUGAUAGAAGCCAUGGAUAGGGAUUUAGCUCUUGUGUGGUAUGGAGUGUCAAUUUAAGGAUGUCUAUUGUUCCAGCACUCCAGUCUCUUUCUUUGGUUUCCAGCAGUCAAGCCAGGCACUCAAACAUAAAAGUCUAGCCAUAGAAUCCACCGCGUUUCCCUACCAAUUGGUGGAAAUUGUUGCUCUUACUUUUAUGCUUUCAAAGUCAAUGCAGUCAAGUCACCGAAAAAUCUUGGCAAUUACUUGGCUCUGGUCCACUUUUUCCAUCUUUUGUAUCCCCCAUUUGAACAGCCAUUUGCUAAUUUCCCCGUGACUAUUCUUGGUUCUAAUUUUCUGCAGCAGAUUCUUUUUAUUUGCCAAGUACCAUUCAAUACGCUUUGAAGACACGAUCUUUAGCUUCCUGCAGACAGCUUCAACUAGUUAAGAAACAUCGAUUGUGGUGCCAAUGGUAAUACCCUGGCAUUAUACUAGGGCAAGACAGAACAACUUGCUAGCUUAUAGAAAUGUCCCUCAAAUGCUAAAGCCUAGCUAGCAACCUCAGUUUCUAACGAAAGAGCAUCUCUACAUGUUGCGUAACUAACAAUCCCUUGAAUAUUAAAACUGAAAAGUGGAACUCAUUGGACCGUUGAUUUUAUGAUCAAUUCCACCGUACGACUUAAUUCAGAGUACAAUUGAGGUGGUCACGGCAAGGACUGAGUCAAGGGACAACCUAGCAUUUGCUGACCUGCUCUUCUCAGCAAAAGCUUCUUCUCUCACCAGCUUCAUGCCAUGGUUGCUGAUUGGAGGGGCUUUAUAAUUUAUUUAUUACAAAUGUGCUAUGAAAAAGAAAAAAAAUGCUAUGAUAUUAAAAAAAAAAAAAGAAUUUCCUCGUAGCUAUGAUAUUUGUGAUAUUAAUUAUGUUACACUUGUGAUCAUGUUGAUGAGAAUAAUAAUAAAUUCAUAUCGUUUUAGUAAUGUUUAUGUUAGCAAGUAAUGCUACUGAAGGUAAAGAAGCUGUGACGAAGAUGAUGGUGAUGUAAUGGUAAUGACGAUUAAAGUGAUUCAAAAAUAUUUUUCUUUUGAUAAUUUAUUAGUGUAUAUAUUUCAAAUGUUUAAGAUAUUUUUCAAAUAAAUGUACCUUAACUAUGAUAAAUGAUAUAUUCUCCGUUUGUUUGCAAUUUGAUUGUAAAGGCUUCCUUUUAACAUAAUUCUGCUUGAUAUACUCCAUGUAAUUACAAACUAAUUAGCUCAUUUUGGUCUUCUCACUUCUGGCAAUUAGUCAGUUUGAUGGCAACGUGCAACAAUGUACGGUCACCAACUGUUGUAUUGGACUUCGAUUCACCAAUAAUGCCCUGCAACUGAGUUUGAGCGUAGGAAUGGACAUUUGCAUUUUAGGCAAGGAAUUGCCUUGUAGAAUAGAAGAAGAAGAAGAAGAAGAAGGGGAAAAAACAAGCAAAGAUCAUAGUCUCAUUAAUUCUAUUCUUCGUAAAGAGCUCACUCUUGAGAUAACAUAAGAUCAACAAACGUUGUUUGUACUAAGAACACGUGAAGCUUUCAUGCUAACAUUUUCUUUUCUCCUCUUUAUAAAACUUUUUUUUUAAUAUAUAAGAUACGAUGGGAAACAACUUUACAGGCAUUAACAUUAGAAGAAAAAUCAACAGGAAGCUCCCAAAUGCUGCGUAAACAUAUAGCAAUUUUAUAAAGAAAAGGAAUACAUGACCCGAAAAAUAAAAUACAACACUCUGCAGAUGAAUCUCUUAUUCGGAACCACAAAACGCAGCUCAUAUAGCAGUAAAAAAAGAAGUAGGACUUGGAGGGAUUGGGAUUUCGACUGUCCCCUCCAACAUGAGGAGGACCUUUUUCAUUGAAGGGCGGAGGGAUGGCUCAUCAAGAGUGCACCAAAUUCCCACUUUAACCAUCCUAUCUAGCUGUUUCUUUUCGGCGACUUCUUCGCCCACAAGCUUGUCCAUAUCACCGUCCUGAAAACAUUGGUAAACCCACUGUUCGAGAACAGCUUCAUCUUCUGGAAGACUCCAAUCCACAUUCUUUCGACAACAUGUUAUCUCCAACAACAUAACUCCAAAGCUGUAAACAUCUGCUUUAACUGUCACCGGCAUAUUCCGGUGCCAUUCUGGUGCUACAUAUCCCCUCGUCCCUCUGAUUCCGGUGAAGGUUUUAGUUUGGUCUGACUUCAGCAACUUUGCCAAUCCAAAGUCAGAAACUUUGGGGCACCUGCUUUCAUCUAUUAGUAUAUUCUGAGGUUUUAUAUCACAGUGGAUGAUCUGAGUGUCGCACUCUUCAUGUAGAUAAACAAUACCCCUUGCAAUGUUGCGAGCAAUUUCCAACCUUUCAGGGAAGCAAGGUCGUUUUUCAAGUGAGAAGAGUAUGUCAGCGAGGGAGCCAUUGCUCAUGUACUCGUAUACCAGGAGCCUGUGAUGUUCAUCAUGGCAAUAGCCGAGCAGACGGACUAGGUUUCUGUGAUGUGUUUUCCCAAUGACUUUCAUCUCAUUCUGAAAUUCUCUUUCCCCUUCAGCUAGAACUUUCUCCAGUCUCUUUACAGCAACAACCUUCCGAGUACUUGAUAUUAUCCCUUUAUAAACUGUCCCAAAUGAUCCCCUGCCAAUUUCUUCCUUGAAACCACCAGUAAUAUUUUCUAGCUCUGCAUAAGUGAAAGCUCGAGGAGCAAAUUCCUCAUUCAUUCCCGUACUAUCAUUACUGGGCACCUG